UCGAGAAUCUUCGGCAAUGGGCGCAAGCCUGACCGAGCGACGUCGCGUGGAGGACGAAGGCCUUCGGGUUGUAAACUCCUGUCGAGGGGGAGAAAGGUCGCGCAAGCGGCUUGAUCGAUCCCUGGAGGAAGCACGGGCUAAGUUCGUGCCAGCAGCCGCGGUAAGACGAACCGUGCGAACGUUAUUCGGAAUCACUGGGCUUAAAGCGCGUGUAGGCGGAUUGGUGCGUCGGCGCCUGAAAUCCCCCGGCUCAACCGGGGAACGCGGCCCGAAACGACCAGUCUGGAGGGACGUAGGGGGGACUGGAACUUCCGGUGGAGCGGUGAAAUGCGUUGAGAUCGGAAGGAACGCCCGUGGCGAAAGCGAGUCCCUGGACGUCUACUGACGCUGAGACGCGAAAGCUAGGGGAGCGAACG
rnacentral:rRNA from 1 species